rnacentral:rRNA from 1 species
GAUGAAGGCCUUAGGGUCCUAAAACUCUGUCCUCAAGGAAGGUAAUGGCGGUACGUGAGGAGGAAGCACCGGCGAACUAAGUGCCAGAAGCCGCGGUAAUACGUAGGGGGCUAGCGUUAUCCGGAUUUACUGGGCGUAAAGGGUGCGUAGGCGGUCUUUCAAGUCAGGAGUGAAAGGCUACGGCUCAACCGUAGUAAGCGCUUGAAACUGGGAGACUUGAGUGCAGGAGAGGAGAGUGGAAUUCCUAGUGUAGCGGUGAAAUGCGUAGAUAUUAGGAGGAACACCAGUUGCGAAGGCGGCUCUCUGGACUGUAACUGACGCUGAGGCACGAAAGCGUGGGGAGCAAACAGGAUUAGAUACCCUGGUAGUCCACGCUGUAAACGAUGAGUACUAGGUGUCGGGGGUUACCCCC